GGAAAUCUGUAUGGAAUAUUUGCGCGCGAGCUGCACUGCUGGUUCUGGAUGAGAGGUAGAAAGGUUGUCAUAUGCCUGUCUAGAGGUGUCUUAAAAAUCAGGUCAUGUUCUUUGCAUAGACGAAUACUUUCUGAUCUGUAGUGAUACUGUCUUUACUGACUUGUAAGUCAGAGGUUUUUGUGUGAGAGGAAGACCGUGGACUUCUGUAAAUAUGCAUAGUGCUUCUGGAUCUUUCUGCCUUUGCAUAGCGUCCACUUGACGGGCGUAUUUGUUUACCUGUCAUACAUAAAUCAGCGUGAAUUGUUUUUAAUAUUUUAAGACUUAUUUUAUAAAAAUGUUACGCUUGGUGACAAAGUGGACGUGUUUACUUGGGCUGUUCAAAAUCGUCACUGCCUCGGUUGAUAGUGGAUGGACCGACUCGGCGGGCGUGUCAGGGUCGGGGAUGCUACCGACAGAGGAGGUGGACCUUCUAGAAGAGCUGUCGCUACAGGUGUCCAACAGCAGCAACGCCUCCAUGUCUCUGGACGCACAAAGGUGUCCGGUGCUGCAGGUGGGACAGUACUCCACCCUGUCUCUGCCCCUAGCGCAGCUGUUCACUGACGGGUUUGCAGAUGAGUUCAGUCUGUUGGUGCAGCUGCGGAGCCCGCAGCGAGACGAGCGCAGCGUGCUCACCCUGCUAAGCUAUGACGGCCACAUCCUGUUGCAGUUGCGCGUCAGCGCAUACACAAUCACCUUCAUCGGCACGCAACAGCGCCACUAUGAGUUCCCCGUCAGUGGUCUGUCUGAUGGCCAGUGGCACCGCCUGGCUCUUAGUGUGUCAUCUGCUAGACUGGCGCUGUAUGUGGACUGUGCCCUGGUGGAGAGUGUGGAUUGGGUGUACCAGGGUAUGGGCAUCACCCCCGAUGGACUGCUGAUGGUCGGGGGCAUCAUAGAGGGCUUUGAGAUUCCCUUUGAGGGCCAACUCCGACAGCUGAUGUUCCUGAUGGGCGACCCACACGCCGCACGCCAUCUCUGCACACUCCACACGGCCCAGUGUGGGGGGACAGCCUCCAAGCCCCCUCGCUCCACACGAACCGACCCAACCCUGGAGGAGCUCCUGCUAUCUUCAAAUGACCUGGAAGACCUGCUAGAGCAAUCCGAGGACUCCUUCCUGGAUGUGGAAGUGGGGAAGACUAAUCCCCAGCACUGAAUAACAGAUGACAUGGCAGCCAAAGCAAGUCAGAGCAAAGAUACCAAGGAUAUGUCUUUCACUAACUCAAUUCAUGAACAUUUAAUACAUAAAACCAUCCCCCACUCUUCAUUCCUGUUUUCUAUCCCUCAUCCUGUUGAGGUUGAUGGCAUUGAGAGACGGACCCUUAUGCAACCUAUUUCCUAUUAAGUGUGCUAUGCAGUACGGAAUAGGGGCCCUGUCUGCUUGGCCACUUUUCGUUUGAGACUUUGAGGAGGCAAAAGAAGGGCACUCACCUGAACUCACAAAUCCCUCUAGAAACGAAUAAACAUUACGAGAGGGGAAGUGUUGUGGCUGUGAAGUGGCUUCAUGCUUUUUCUCUCGGGAUUAUAUGGGCUGUUUCCUCGGCAGGAUGGUAUUUACCCUGUUUAUAAACAACGAGCCCAAUACGUCUAUACCCGCUCUGAUCGCUAGUAGACGAAUGCUGAAGGCAGAGUAUAUUGCACAGGAGAGGAGGAGGUGCAGUAAGUGGUAGGGAAAGGGAGGGGGUGGCGAUGAAGGAGCAGGAAAAGUAGAGGAGAAAACAGCUUGGCCAUGUCUCACUGUCUCCGUCCCUCAUCAUUGUUAGCCUGCUGUCAGUGCACUAAGCCCCAAAGCACUUUUUAACUCAUAAUGAUGUCCUCUAAAGGCUGUCAUUUGUGCGGUUGGGCUGGGCGUCGAGGAUAAAUCACAUACGUUAAAUGCAAAGUGUUGCAGAAACGUCAGAAUGUGUGACGCCAGCGCCUCAACCUUUCUUUCCCCCAGUCCUAUUCUUUCCUAGCCCUCUGCCUAUCUAAUCUCACACCAAGCUAUAUUGUAACUGUUUCAAGGGGCCCCAAAGGUAAGUGAAUGGGUUCAGUCGAUCCACUUCAUGAUGAUUAGCAGAAAUAAACUCACAAGGGUUGAAAGUCUGAAGGCUUACCAGUGAGCCUCAGCUCUGCACUGUACCAGUGUUUUAUGGGGGUUACAAUCCUGUUGAAGACAGUGGAGCUCUCUGGAAUUUAUUAGCUACUGGCAAGAACUAGGAAAUGAUGGCAGGGAUCUGCUGACCCCCCACUCAUACAGCCACAGUCUCAGAGAAUCCCCAAGGUGAUUUUCUUCACCCAAAUUCAACACCCCCACCCCCAUAGUCGACCUAAAGCUGUAAAAUGGCUUAUUCCUGGAUUAGUGUGGUACUUUUUGCCCAAAGGCAUGAAGUCAUUCUUCAUGUGUUAGGGAAGAUCCCUGCUAUGUUUUGGCCUAUAAUUCGCUACACUGUAGAUCACCUCCUCCUCAUAUAAAUCAAUUGAACCUCUAAGAUUUUCCAGUAAGUAUUUCCUGCUUGUGCUUUCAACUUUAGUUUUUAUUGAGCUCUCUUCUGUGGAGAGUUUCUCUGCUUCCAGAGCCCAUAAUCCAUGUGGGUUCUGUGGUAUCCCACCUCCUCAAAACGUUAACCACUUUCCUGGGGUUGACCAGAAUGCUGAAAACACUCACAAUUGCCUUAUUUUCUGAUGAAGUCUGAUGAAGUAUUUUUCUCCUCAGCUUCAAGUGGAGGCUGUCCAUGAAACCACAAUUCCUUUUGUUGUGCCAGUGUACUGUUUGUCCAUAAUCAAAUGUUUACUUUCACCCUCGAUCUAACUUGAUUGGGCUUUGGUUAGAGUGGCUUGUGUUUCAGACACUUCAUUCAUGGUUUUGGACGCAUGCAUUGCGUAAGAUCCAAUCUAUGUUGAACAACGAUACGAAUGCAACAUGUGUCGGUCACAUCUUUCAUAAGCUGAAGAAAAGAUUCCUGAAUUUGCCAUACGUAGAGAAAGCUUAUUUCUCUACAAAUAUUUUAAACUAUUUUUUUUUUUGCGUCUGAGCAUUUCAACUUUGCCAAAACAAUCCGUCCAUCUGACUGGUGUGGUAUGUCCAGAAGCUGAUUAAACAGCAUGAGAAUAACACUGGUGCUCAGUGUGCACUUUUGUCACGCACCACAAUGCCACAGAUAUGAAAGGUUUUGAGGUAGUGUGCACCUGACAUGCUGACUACAGAGCUUUUCAUAUUUAUUUCUCUACAAUACAUUGAACUGGCCUCAUGACCGCAGACCACAUAUAACCACACCAGUCAAGGAUAACUACAUCCGGCUUCUUCUCCUGCUGGAUCAUCUGAGACCAGUCACCCAGACAGCUGAUGAAACGAUGGAUUUGCACAAAUGAAAGAUUUCAUGGACAUUUUCUGUUGCUAAGAUCAGUAAACAAUUCCUAGAUUGACCAAGUAUCCCAGUUCUUCCAUGGCCUAUAUUCAUCUGACAUGUCAUCCAUUGAGCAUGUUUAGGAUGCUCUGGAUCAACAUGUACUGUACAACAGCAUGUUCCAUUUUCCACCAAUAUCCAGCAACUUUUUAAUUACAGCCAUUAAAGAAGAGUGAAACAACAUUCCACAGGCCACAAUCCACAGCUUGAUCAACUGUGUGAAUCUGUGACCAACCAGUCAUGUGAAAUCCAGAGGUUUGAGCCUAAUUUCUUUAUUUCAGUUGACUGAUUUCCUUAAAAGAACUUUCACUUAGGAUUUUGGAUAUUUGUUUAAUACUCACAGACAGACACACACACACUUCCACACACAUGUUUGUUUUUGUGAAAUGUGGGGACCAGAAAAACUAAAUUCCAUGCUCCCUUGCCCUAACCUUAACCUUAACCCUAACCCUAACCUAACCCUAACCUUACCUAACCCUAACCUUAACCUCAAUAAAGUAACAUUUAUGGCUAAACUUUACCUAGAUAUAAUGGCUAACCUUAACCCUAAACUUAACCAACAACACCUGGACCUUAAAGAAACCCCAAUUCUAAGUCUAAAGUUAAUUGUAAGUUUGACCCUAAAACUUAACCCUGAGCCAGAAAAUGACUUUUGAAAUGUGGGGACAUGAAAAAUGUCCCCACAAGUCACCUUGUUCAGGUUUUAGUAUAGUUGUGGGGACAAAAUGUCCUGACAAGUCACAAAAACAAACACACACACACACACACACACACACACACACACUUGGAGACACCUGUUUACAUAGGCUGCCUGAGGGUGACGUGGGGCAGGAUCAGUGUAUCUGUAAAGUAGGCAGGGCUAAGGUCUGUGUAAGGUCUCUAAUACUGGAGUGUGUGAGUGAUAUUCUAUAUGUAGGAAUAGAGCUAUACUGUACAUUGUCCUAUGUCUGUUGCCUGCAAGGGUCUUUCUGUAAGGUGUGUGGAACUGGGCGGGUGUGUUUUGUGUUGGGCCAUCCUCUCCACAGUGAUUGUGUGUGGCAGUGGGUACUGUGAAUCCUCUGGGUGAAGAGAGACACAUGACUCCUGCAGUCAUGCACUAUCAUGUUGGAUGGUACAUAGUUCUUGGAAGUCUGCUACUGGAUCUACUUGGACAUUGUGUGGUGGGACAAAGAAUGCCAAAGUCAAAGAUGAAGGUAGGGCCUCAUCCAAAAAUAUCCACAUAUUCGACGUUAAUGUAAAGGUGAUGUAUUUACGUUGUACUCUCAACUGUAGGCCCAGUCUAUACAUCCAAAAUGACAAGAUUACAUAGAGG
ensembl:lncRNA